rnacentral:lncRNA from 1 species
UUCUUUAAGUCCAACUCCUCCAGAACCUCCUCUGACAUCUGCAGCAUGUAGGCCAGAGCAGAGCACUGGAACACUGAGAGUUUCUUCUCUGAUUUGUUCCCUGACUUCAGGAGCUCUUGAAUCUCCUGAUGAACUGACAGAUCGUUCAUCUCCAUCAGACAGUGGAAGAUGUUGAUGCUUCUGUCAGGAGAGAUAUCUUCUCUGUUCAUCUCCUUCAGGUUCUUGAUGACUGUUUGGAUCAUUUCUGGACUGUUGUCUGUGUGACCCAGCAGACCUCCUAAGAGUCUCUGGUUUGACGCCACAGAGAGUCCAUGAAGGAAGCGAACAAACAGGUCCAGGUGACCGUUUUUACUGACAAGGGAUUUCAUCAUGACACUCUUCAGGAAGACAUCCUGAGAUGAGAAAAAAUAAUCCAGGUUUUGAAAAAAUCUGUCAACCAUCUCUGAAGAAGACAUUUUAUCUUCAUCAUCGUUGCUUCUUAGGAAAGUCUUCAGAGCUUCUGUGUUCCUGGUUGUGAAACUGUGGAUCAUGUAGACUGCAGACAGAAACUCCUGAACGCUCAGAUGAACGAAACAGUAAACAGUUUUCUGGAAGAUCACACUCUCUCUUCUGAAGAUCUCUGUACAAACUCCUGAGUACACUGAGGCCUCUGAGACAUCCAGACCACACCGCUCCAGGUCUUCUUGGUAGAACAUGAUGUUUCCACUGUUCAGAUGUUCCAAUGCCAGCCUCCCCAGCUUCAGGAGGACGUCACUGUCAGCAUCCAUCAGCUCCUGAGGACUUGUCUCAUGUCCUCCUUCAUACUUCUGCUUCUUCCUCUGAGUCUGGACCAGCAGGAAGUGUGAGUACAUGUCAGUCAGGGUCUUGGGCAGCUCUCCUCUCUGCUUUCUUCUCAUCAUGUCCUCCAGAACUGUCGCAGUGAUCCAGCAGAAGACCGGGAUCUGACACAUGAUGUGGAGGCUCCUGGAGGACUUGAUGUGUUGGAUGAUUCUUCUGGACAGAUCUUCAUCUCUGAACCUCUUCCUGAAGUACUCCUCCUUCUGGGCGUCAGUGAAGCCUCGUACUUCUGUUAUCCUGUCCACAUGUGAAGGAGGGAUCUGAUUGGCUGCUGCAGGUCGAGAAGUUAUCCAGAUGAGAGCUGAGGGGAGCAGGUUCCCCUUGACGAGGUUUGUUAUCAGAACGUUGAGUGAAGACUUCUGUGUGACGUCAGACACCACCUCAGAGUCUGUGAAAUCCAGAGACAGUCUGCUUUCAUCCAGACCGUCAAAGAUGAACAGAAGUUUACAGACAGCCAGCGUCUCUGCUGUGACCUUCUCUAGGGUUGGAUGGAAAACAUGGAGCAGACUCAGAAGACUGAAGCGCUCAUCUCUGAUCAGGUUCAGCUCCCUGAAUGAAAGCAGGACCACCAGAUGGAGGUCUUGGUUCUCCAAACCCUCUGCCCAGUCCAGAGUGAACUUCUGCACUGAGAAGGUUUUUCCAACACCAGCCACGCCGUUGGUCAGAACCACUCUGAUGAGCUUCUUCUGUUGGUCAGGUAAGGUUUUAAAGAUCUCAUGACACCUGAUGGGCAUGUCAUGGAGGGUCUUCAUCUUUGAAGUAGUCUCCAGCUGUCUCACCUCAUGUUGGGUGUUCACCUCUUCACUCAGUCCCUCUGUGAUGUAGAGCUCAGUGAAGAUCCUGUUGAGGAGGGUUUGACUACUUCCUGUUUCAUCACUUCCUUCAUUCACACGUUCACAUCUCCUCUUCAGACUGAUCUUAUGUUCAUCUAAAACCUCCUGCGGGAGGCCAUCAUCUGAAAGAGAAGAAAAAUAAAAUGAACCAAACUUCUCAACACUGAAACGUCUUUGUGAAAAUCAGUCAGCUGAGUUUUCAUCCACACAGACUUUUCCUCACAGUCCGUCGGCGCCGACACCUUUAUACAGGCGCUCUUUAAAUUACCGUAACUUUGCGGUAGUUUGUUCUAUCAAAAAAAAAUCUCCAACGGUUUCUGAAAGCUGAGAAGUUGCGCCACACGGUCAAUAAACGGUUAUUACGGUAAUUUCACUCCUGCUGUUUGGGGAAGUGAGAAAAUCUGUCUCCUCGUCCCCUCUCCCCCUCUCAAAGGGAGCAGCGGAUAGACACACAACAGAGCAGAGAAACGGAGCAAAAAGAGAGAAAAGUGACAAAAAAGGGAUUAUUUCAAAGGAAAAUGUCUGUGAUAAACUCUCCCAAGUGAGAAAACCUCCACUGAGGUUUACAGACGACUUUGGGACAGAUGGAGAAGCUUUCAGAGCAACUUCAGACAGAGAAAGGUAAAGUUUGACUGGUUGGUUUUCUGUGUUGGUUUCUGGAUGAAUGAAGCGCUCUCUGUGUCGUUUUUAAUUUAUUUACGUUAUUUUAUGAGUAAAUCAACACUUAUAACCUGUUGUGACUUUAUUAGAAUACCAUGCUAAGGCAGUGAGUUUGUAGUAACGUGUGCCUAUUAAGACAGCAUGAUAUUAGAAAACACUAACAUUGCAAAGUUGUUCAACCCUGUGAUAUAUAAGCGUUAUUAAAAAAUAGAGGAAUUUUUAGCAGAUGAUCUGAAUCUGACUUUCUGCUGAAAUCUUGAGGACAGUUAACCUGCACUGAUCUUCCCUCUUUUAGUGAAUGUUAGUAGAAUGGCUUCUGUCUGUCUUAGAGAUAUUUUUAGUUUUUAUUGUUCUGCUGGGACGUUAUUGUGGAAACAGAUGAAAGACACUGCCGUCACAGAACAGGUGUUAGGUGACGUCAUCCUUUUUGUAACCGAAAUAAUUACAGAUAAGUGACGUGGCUUUUCUUUUAAUCAACGAAUAUUCAUCUACAAUGGUUAGUGACGUUGCUUUUCUUUUAAUCAACGAGUCUUCAUCUUCUAUGGUUAGUGACGUUCUUUUAAUCAACGAGUCUUCAUCUUCAAAGGUUAGUGACGUUGCUUUUCUUCUUACCACCAAGUCUUCAUCUUCGGCGGUUUUCUCGUCGUUUUCUCAUUUUGCAACCGUUGAUGUUGUACCGAGAAACACAUGCCCGCCGAGAAUUACAUCCACUUCGCUUAUAGUAGAGUAUAGCUACGUGCCCAAACAAGCCAUGGACAGAUGAAGUCUCAAAGAACUAGCAUGAGGAGACGACGCUGCAAACUUUGUCAUAAGGAGAACUGCCUGGAAGUGUGAGUGGUGUGAUGUGGGUCUGUGUCCGCAGACAGAAAGGAACAGCUUCUGACAGUUUCACAAAGACCUCUGAGUGAGAGAGGAGAAACGAGGAGAAACGCGUGGACAUAGUUGUAUUUAUUUAGCCUGUUUUUGCACUUGGAGAGACAGCACUCCAAAGUUUUUGUUGUAAAUAUGUUUGAUACUCUUUAAUUUUUUUUUAUUUCAAAUGAAAAAUCUGUUUUUCAUGAAUAUUUUCUGUUUUUUCUCAUUAAAACUCAAAAAAUCGUAUUCCGUUUUUGUGUUUUUCUUUAUCUUAAAAUGUUAUAGCACUCUUUUAACAGGCAGUAAAUCGUAAAUGACAGCCAGAUAUUGAAAGUUUGAAGUGUUCUGGAAAAAUGGGUAAAACUCAACUUUAUUUGUAAAGCACUUUAAAACAACCACAGCCAACCAAAGUGCUGUAUAUAAAUAGACAAAAAAGCAUAGACAUAAAAAAAAAAAAAAAAAAAAAACAUAAAACACUAAAACAGGAGCCGAGUCUCAUGCAGGGUUGAAAGCCAAUGAAUAAAAAAGCACUCACUCAUAGGACAUUUUCUGCCAAUUUUAUGGCUAAAAUAAGCAAAAUAAUUCUGGCAGAAAUUGUAUAAUUUAGGGUUUAAAGGUGUUCAGACUUACUUCGAUCAGAGCUGGACUGGCUGUCUGUCUGAAAGACAAGAACUGUUCUGGUUCUUUUUCCACACUGGGGACAGGAGGUGUAUCCUGAAGAAGUAGACUGGUGUCCACAGCGGGUAGAGACUGGAUCCUUCAGGACGUCCUGACAUAAAGAACAUCUGGACAGCUGCUCCUCCACAGAGUCACAUCUCUGUGUCUCUCUGUGGAAAUAAAGAACAUUUAUUUUCUUUAUUAUUUCAUGUUUGAAAGAUACAGAAUAAGAAACAUUUAUUAAACCAGAGUUUCUCUUUUCUCUAACAUAAAACAAUCUCCUGUAAAAUAUUCAGCUGCUGCUGCCUGAAGUGUCGUGACAAGAGAAAAAACUAAAGUGAUUUUGAAGGUAGAGAGAUUUUCUCUGACAGUUUAAAACUUUUUUUUCCACCGAUCAGAUCUAAAGGUCUAAUAACAGACAGAUGCUCUGAAUGAGUUUUUAUUUCUCAGGAUUUAUUUCUUCAUUGGUCUUCUGGUAUUUUGUGACCCACAGACUGUUUUCUGGGGUCUACAGACCACAGUCCAAAGACUAACAGGCUCAAAACGUCCCAAACACAGGAACCAAAUCAGAAAAUACAAGAAGUCAGAAUCCUUUUCAAAUGCUGUUUUAAACGACUUUCAUUUUUAUAAACAUCAACAAUAAUAAGUAAAUCUGUGCUCAGUGAGUUUUUCUUUACCAGCCUUUUAUCCAUUACAAGAUUCAAUUCAAGAUCAUCUUUCUAUCAUCUCAAAAAUAUCUCCAAAUUGAGGGGCUUUCUGUCAAAAUCAGACUUAGAAAAAUUCAUCCAUGCAUUUAUAAGAAGUAGACUGGAUUACUACUGGAUAACGGUUUAUUCACUGGACUCCCAAAAUCAAGUCUUCAGAGGUUACAGUUAAUUCAAAAUGCAGCUGCAUGUAUUCUCACUGGUACCAAAAAAUAUCAACACAUCACACCCGUUCUCAAAUCUGUACAUUGGUUACCCGUUAGGACAAGAAUCGAUUUCAAAAUACUCCUCCUGGUUUACAAAGCACUACAUGGCCUUGCACCUCAGUACAUCACAGAUAUGCUCAUCACCUACACCUCAGCAAGAACACUUCGGUCAACAGGCAGUGGCAACUUACUCAUCCCUCACACCAGAUCCAAAUGAGGGGAGGCAGCUUUGAGUGUUUAUGCCCCACAAAAAUGGAACACCAUGCCUGACACAGUUAGACACAUCAGUAGCCAUCUUUAAAAACAGAUUUCUAUAGCAUUCUUUUAAACUGUGUGUGUAUGUGUGUACGUGUGCACGUGUCCAUGUGUGAGUGCGUGCGCAUGUACGAGUUUAAGUGUGCAUGCAGUGAAGUUGACUUGCACUUACACUCUUACAUUGAUUUCUAAUUGAUUUUUGUAUAACUGUUUUUAACUAUGUACACCUGUUGUGAAGAACAUUGAGUCUGCCUUGUACAUGAAAUGGGCUUUAUAAAUAAAGUUGAAUUGAAUUGAAUUUUAUCCAGGUUGGCAGGUUUAAGAGGAAAAUCAGUGUUUUGAGAACAGAGGAGAAAACAGAGGGGUCAGGAUUUAAAGUUUUGUAUUUGAAACGUCAAUUGUUGUUGUUUGAGAGUUUGGUGAUUGAAAAGUGUUUCUCUUACUGUGAAUCUGAGGGUCCUGGUUCUUCACUGAAUUUUGGUGGAGGAUCUUUAGACCGGUCACUCUUCAUAGACAGACAGCUGGAGAUAACAGACUUUGUUCUGUCCUCCUCUGGGGGUCCUGGUUCUUUACUGAAGUUUAUAUCAAAACCUUUAGACUGGUCACUCUUCAUAGACAGACAGUCAAACAUAUCAGACUCUGCUCUGCCCUCCUCUUCCUCGACACCAACACUCAUCUUCUCCAUCUUCUGUUGUGCAAAUUUAUGGAGGCUGAAACCGAGUUAUACAACCUGAGGACAAAGAAGACAAACAGGUGAGAUACAAACAGGAAGAGAGAGUUCAGAAAUAAAAGAGGAAUCAGAAAGGAAGUACAGAGUCUAAAAACAGCUUCAUCCCCCUCUUUAAGAGUUAUACAGGUUUAAUAUCCAAGAACUUCUGAUGUCUCCCCACCCUGCAGGGCCUCUCUCUGAUCCUUGUCUGAUUCAUGGUCAAAACAAAAUCAGCUGUGAGGUCCCUGAACUCUCAUAAAAACUUAAGGAGACUGGAUUAAAGUUGAAAUGAGACGCUAAAAAGAUUCUGAUUAAUAUUUUUACCAAAAAGACAAGUCUAAACAAAGAGGAGGAAGAACUGCACGUACACAGUUUCCUGUAUGAAGAACUGAUCCAGCUCUUUGUCUGCUCAGGUUUCUUUGUUUUACAGUUUUUAAGUGUUUUAGUCAGUAAAUCAUUUUUUCAUUAACAGAUAAAACAGAUAAAGAGUUUGACAUUAAAACUAAAACAGAGUAAACACUCACCCUGUCUCCUCGUCCUCUCCUCUCUCUUCUUUUCUCAAAAUGGAGUCUGUUUUUCAGCUCACAUACUUUCACUUUCACUCUGACUGUUUUCACUGAAACCUAAACCACCAGAUCACAGAUUCUUCUCCUCAUUUACUGACCGUUAUUGAUCAUCCUUUAAGUUCAGUAUUCUUGACAACCAUCUUCCUCUCCUGAGUCCAAAUUCAAAGUUCACUAAAACAGGAACUUGUUUGUUUGGUUGAGUCUCAGUUUAUUGUUAAUGCAGCAGCUCCACCUGCUGGUCAAACCAACAAACUUCAGAUGAGCACUCCUCUUCUCAUACCCCAACUAAAUGUGAAGAUUUGGUUGAACAGGUUUUUAUUUUUGCACACAGUGUGAUUGUGUUGUCACUACACAAACUCCUCCUUCACCUCACUUUACAAAGAUCACUGUCCAACAUUAUAUUCAGUGUAGGAGCCAAAUAUGUUGAUGUGAUAACACAAGUUCACGUUGUAUGCUUUAGGUAUCUCUGUCCUGUUAUCUGGGGCUCAGAAAUAAAGGUCGGCAAACCCGGACGUGUUUGGUUUUUUUUUUCGUGGGAUGGUAGGGGAAGGUCCCACCCUCCUUCGCAUCUGAUUGGCUAGAAGUGCUAGGCUCCGAUUGGUUAUUCCUUAUGGCUGUGAAACGUCAUAGCAAACAUGAACCCCCUAAUAACUUUUAAAAAUGGAGCUUCACAGAAAAAAGAGGACUUGAGCACAAACCAGUCUGACAAUAACUACAUGUCAACAUCACAACCAGGAGGGAGAAAAAAUUAUGUUCUGUGUAAUAAAUUUCUAAAGUUCGUCCACAGCUCCAUAAGCUUUGCUGGCGCAGGCGGGAUUUAUGACCUAUACUGCAGCCCAUCAACAGAGGGUGCUGUUCUCAGAGUGGCUUCACCCAGCGAGGAGGCAGACUCUGUCCAUUCUAUAUACAGUCUCUGGUUUUUCUUCUUUUGCUUUAGUAACCCCUUUUCAGAUUUCUGGAUCAAAGUACCCCCGAUAAAAGACGACCACCUGUUGCUUAGAAAACUAAAUCCAGGAUAUCGUUGAUGUCAUGCAGAAAUCUCCUAUCUUUAUAUUUUACCUUCUUUGUUAGAUGUGUGGAUUUGUCCUCCACAUACUUUAAAUGAACAAUAACACACCUUAGAGAGAAUAUCACAAAUGAAAACACAGGAAACAACUGUGCUGCACCCUGAUGAUAAAACCUUCCUCUACUUUUCAGACUCACUUUGAGGACUUUUUAAAGACCAAAUCUAGUUUCUGUUUGAAUGAAAAAUAAUAAUAAUCAAUUGCACACAGUGAAUGAAACGAGCCGAGUUGACGUUUUUAACAUGUUUUGGUUCAAAUAAAGUUUUUAUUAUCUUUAAAUGGCAUUGUUACAGUGAAAUGAAAUAAAAAAUGAUCUGGUGUAAAUGAAGAACCAACAGAGUGUUACACAGACAGAGCACAGAUCUAUUGAUAGUAGAUAAACUGAAGAGGACAAAUCUGUUUACAAUAGUUCUAUGUUUUAUGUGUCUGUAGUGUGAUCAGACUGUGGCAUGAGCUGUCCUGACUUCUGAUUGGACCUUUACAGGUCAGCUGAUGGCAGAUACAGCCUCUGAUUGGCUAACAACAGAAAUGACACUUUGUUACUGAAAUGAAUCCAUAAACCAUCAGAUUAUUUUUAUUUUGGAGGGAUGGGAUCAGGAAGGUCUCUGAAAACACACCGAUCUUUUCUGUGGGAUAGAAAAGCUUUGGAGUGUCACAGAAACACAAACUGAUCUCCUGAAAGCUGACGGUCUCACAAAGCCAGUGGAUUUUACAGGAAGUCACUCCACUGUAGCAUCAGUUUAUGAAGCUGAGAUUGUAAUCAACAACACUGAGUUUAUAAAACAGCAUCGACCACAUUAAUGACUUCACCCUGAAUAGAUGCUGAUCUCACUUUUUCCAGACUCCGGUCAAUAUGGUUAUUUUUGUCUGUCAGAGGAAAACUUCUCCAUCAUAAUAAAGUAAAAAUAAUGAUUUUGUUUUUGUUUAAGAAUCUUUCCUUUGACUGAUUAUAUUUCACACAUUUUAAUUUUACUCUCAGGUCUCAUUUAUGGUUUAAUAAUUGUAUUUGUUCAAACUGGAGGGAAUCGAUUAUUGAUGAGCACAAAGAUGAUAUGAGAACAAAAACAUGUAAAGAGACGGAAAAUAAUGUCUAAUAAUAUAAAAUAAGGUCAAUUUACCUCCAGUCAAUAUUUACAAUCAGUUCAGAAAAUGAAGAAGAAAACGGAUGAAUAAAAAUAAUCAAGUGAAAGAAUAAAGCUUCAGAUUUUUGUUAAAACCCCAAACCCUGUCCUCCUCCUCCUCCCUUCACCUCCAUCUCUCCUCACUUCUCUUCCUCUCCCUUCAGUUUAUAUUCGGUCUCUAACGGUGCAAAGGAAAGAAAAAACCUUUGGGUUUAAUCUGAACUUCUGACUGAUCUACUCUCACACAUGGUAUCAACUCCUGCUGCAGAAAUAUGAGGGAAUAAAUCAACUCCACCUCUUUAUAUUUCCACUGGGUGGCGCUGCAUCAUGGUGAAAACAAAGUAAUCCAAUCAAAGUGUAAAUUUAUGAUCAUGUUUCCAUCAACAAAACAAACCUGUUCAGACUGUUUGAUCCCAGAGUAUGAGGGAAAAUAUCAAAUAUCCAGAGUCCAGGUCCUGAGCUGAUCUCAGAGCAGGUCAAAGUGCAGCUCCCAGAGUCCUCUCCGCCCGCUGUGAUUGGUCAGUCAGUCUCUCAGUCAGAGACUCACCUCACCCUCACUGCUGCUGCCUCCACCUCUCUGAUCGUCAGGAAACACACGAUCCUCUUCUUAUUCACUCUGACAGAUGUUAACUCCAUCUGAGGAGAGAAAAAAAGACGUUCAGUGUUUCCACUCUGAGACUCACUUCAUCAGCUGGACUGAAGAACAUCCAGUUUACAGACCAGCAGGUCUCAGUCCUGCUCAGACCAGAAGUGAUGGUGUAAAGCAGCAGGUUUCCUCACAAAUAAACCAACAUCAUCAAAAUAAAGAAAUCAUUCCUGUCAAAUGUGUUAAAGCUGAUCGAACAAACCUGCUGUGAAAAUAACAAGUAUAAAGAACAGCUGUCUGUUUUCAGACUUAGAGCUCAAAAUCAACAAGUUAGCAGAGAAAUAAAGUCUGUGUUGAAUACAGAGAACUAUAAACUGGACUUCAGAGCAGAAACUGAACAUUUCUGUUUCAUUAUGUCUCAUUUCUACAUUUGAUCUGAAAUAUAGAGACGAGGAGACACUUUUUUCAUCACUGACACUCUUACACUCCUGGUUUGAUGAUUUCUGUUCUCACAGCUUCACUAAAGAGAUAAUCCUCUGAGAGGGUCGAAGAGUCAGCAGGAAAUACUGAAUAUCUGCUGUGAUACUGUGUGGAGAGGAACAGGAGAGAUCAGCACAGACUAACUCCAACUCUAUACUGACUCCAGAUCCUCCAGUCUGUAGUCUGGACUCUUCUGAAGAUCACACAGCAGCUCCACGUCUGAACCCUGCAGAUUGUUUCCAUACAGCCACAGAGUUUUCAGAUGGGAGGGGUUGGACUUCAGAGCUGAGGCCAGAGAAGAACAGCUGAUCUUCGUCAAACUGCAGCGCCACAACCUAAAUAAAGAGGAAAUAAUGAGAUUUUAGAGAAAAAUGAUCCAGUUUGAAACCUGAUGUCUUAAAUCUGUAGAGUUCAGGGGAAAGGUUUGGAAAGUAUGAAUCAAAGAAAAGUGACGCUCCAAAGAGCUGAACCAAACAGGAAGUCAGUUUGAAACACUGAAUUCAAAAACACAUUAAAUAGUGAAAUAAAAAACUCAGAGACUUUUUUACUGAUUGUAGAUGCAGCUCAAUAUUUUCAGAAAAUGUCAGCGACUUCAGGACGGAUGGGAAACAAAGGAUGUUCAGAAUAUUUUCACUUUGCUGAACCAAAAAUAUCACGUCUUUGAGAGGUAAAUAUUUCAGUCUAAACACAGCAAGGCUUCAGAAAAGUGCAGAUAAACCAGAAAAUUCAGAUUUUCACACAAAGAUUCAAAAACAAAAUUCAAAGUAACAGAGCUGGACUUUCAUCAGAGUCAGAAACUAAACUCUGAGUUUUUUCCAUUUCUUGUCCUGAACUAAAGUUUGAAUGGUUCUCGUCUGACAAAUCUCCCCCUGCUUCUGUUUUCUGUCUGAAUGUGCUUCUCACUGUGAACUCUACAAAGAGUUUUCUUCUUGGGUUCAGGUUUUAAUUCACUGGAGCUCAGCAGUGAUCUAACUGGAGUCAAUCAAAUAAUCCACUGAAGCAGAAAAUCUACUCUGGACUGAAGGUGUUCAGUCUGGGUCAGUGUUUCAGUCCUGAGUCAGCAGUUUAGUGUCAUCAUCACAAACAAAUCAUGAUCAUGUUUGAAUGGAGGAAAAAAGUCUCACUCUAGAGUCUCCAGUUUACAGUUUGGACUCUGCAGAGAGUCACACAGCAGCUUCACUCCUGAAUCCUGCAGAUUGUUUCUGCUCAGGUCCAGAUGUUUCAGAUGGUCGGGGUUGGACUUCAGAGCUGAGGCCAGAGAAGAACAGCUGAUCUCUGACAAACUGCAGCUCCUCAGUCUGAAAAAAGGAAAGAGAAUGAAGAUAAAAAUAAUUAAUAAUCAAACUUCACGUGUUCAGGUUUAAAAUAUGGAGCUUAGAGAACUCCAACAGGAGACCUUUGGACCAGAUCCAGUCUGUCAGAGCUCAUUAUCUGGUCUGCUCUGACCCUCCAUGUAAAAUAACAGACAAGACAUCAAAUGUGAUGGAGCACUGGUUUGGAUUAGAGGUUCAGGUGUUCAGAAGGUGGAGUCCUUGUUGCAGCAGUUGCUGGUUGGACUCCCAUGAUCCUUUGCUGUAAGUCCUCCCUCACUCUCUACUCCACGUUUCCUGUUCCUCUUCAGCGCUCGGAUCAAUCAAAGUCUUCAAAAUGAACUUGAAGUGUGACAUGGAGGAAACAGGAGGAUCUUUGUCUGCCUUCAUCCCUCACUGUACACUGAUCUUCAACAAGAACACUCAACCCAGAAUAACUGACUGUGUUGUCUCUACUGUCAGAACUGGACCGGACCAGCCAGCAAUCCUCCAGAUCUGAGUUCAUGGAAGUCAGAGACAAACCAGAAAGACUCUCAACCAAGAAGAGCUCAGAGAGAGUCACCCAGGACACUGAGCCCACCUCCCUCAACCAGGCUGGUCUCAAGAGUUUGUAUUGAGCAGAUCCAGCCCAUGUGAAGCUGAACCUGAAUGUGCUCUCAGACUCUAACAUCAGUGCUCUGCCAAACAGAGAAUGGAUGAGACUCUGAUGAGACAGGUCAGCUGACUCUGUCUGCAACAACAUCACCUUUACUGCUUUACUCUUCUCCCUCACCUUCAUCAGGCUCAACAAGGUCAGACAGCAGACAGAUCCACUCUUACUCUCACUUUGUCAUUGAUUCACUGAUGGCUGAGUUCACUCACAUUUCAUUUAGUCCACUCUCUAAUCGGGUUUUACUGCAGGAACCUUUCAAACCAUAUGAGCAGUUAUUGAGCUGCAGAAAAGAGGCAGUGGAGCCAAAACAGGAACCUGAUCAAUCUGAUCAUUGAAUAUUGAUCAGAAGAAAAAUCAAAAUGGUUCAAAUAAUAUUGAGAAGAAGAAAAUCUAUGAGUUUGGUUCUUUAACUUAUUUGGUUCAAUCAUAAAAGUGACGAAUACAACUUUGUUUUUGUGACUUCAGUCAUCACAGCAAAGAGACAAAGAGGAAAAUCUCUGUGUGUCUGUGUUUGUGUGUCUGUCUCUCUGUCUGUGUUUGUCUGUCUGUCAGUGUAGAUUCAGGCGUCUGUGUUUCUAACUGUCAGAGCAGAUCUUUCUCGUUUCCUCCUCAUGAAAACUCAAACCUCAUGUUCUGACCGAUUCAACUCAUUUGAUGAAAAAGUGAAUUUUUUUCAGAUUUGGUUUGUUUGGUGUUUUUUUGUGACUCUGAAUUUAUGAAGCAUCAUUAUUACUUUAAUAACUGAGAUGAAAACAAUGAUGCUAGCUGAAGAAACAACAACAAGGAAACUGGGAGCCCAAGUUUAGUCCAUGACUUUAUCCUCAUUAUUGUAAUGAGUCAAAAAGACUAAUAAACACCUGUCACAGUCUGAAAAAAGAAAAAAAUCAUGUAACCUCUGAAGAAACUGUUCCUGUUUUUAAUGAUUCAAUGUUCUUGAACCCUGAAGGACACGGAAGAAGAACUUUUUCAGAGUUGAUCUUCAGGAACUUUGUAAAAUCCUCUCUAAACUUUUUGAAGAUCCAGAGGAAUUUAUCAGUCGAGAAAAUUUUAAAGAAACAGAAAACUUUAGUGAGAUCCUGAGAAACUCCUGUGAGAAAUCUCAAAGGUUCUUUUGUAGUCCUGAAUUCUUCAUGAAGAUGAAAACAGUCAGGAGUUUAUUCAGGGGUCUGUCCGUCUGCUGUCAACAACUGCCAAACUACUCUUAAAUAAACCAACAGAUCAUUGAUCAGAGAGGUUUUUAUGGACCAACUGGACAAGAUGAUGUUAAUGUUCAACAAACUGAAGUGAAAACUGCAGACAAAUCUGGAUCUGGUUUUUACAUUUGAACACGACUGAGCAAAGAAGAAAUUCAAGUUUUCAAGAGUUUCCAAAUGAAAUAUCCAGAGUUGGAUUAACUUUGUUCUUCAGGUUUCAAUCUGCAGCUCAUCAUUUCUCUGACACUUCAUUCAUUAGUGAUCACAUUAACUGUGGAUCAGUUCAAUAUCAGCCUUUAGUCUGUGCUGCUCCUGCCCUCUACAAGCAUGUGUAAUAUUUGUGGGACUGAUUUUCUCCUGCUUCCUUUCUACAUCCAUCGUUCUCCUCAAAGUCAACUCUGAAAUGUCGGAUUUUUCUUCCUGUGUUGAAGUUUUACAACGACAAAUUCAAACUGCUCGACCAAAGUUGAUGGAAAAACCACAGAGAAAAAUCUAAGGCAGCAGCUGUCACAUCUUAUUGUUAGAUCAGAAGGAAAUGGUGUCUCACUUCAGAGUCUCCAGUCUGCAGUUUGGUCUCUGCAGUCCUGCAGAGAGAAGCUUCACUCCUGAAUCCUGCAGAGUGUUGUUUCUCAGGUUCAGAUGUCUCAGAUGGGAGGGGUUGGACUUCAGAGCUGAGGCCAGAGAAGAACAGCUGAUCUCUGACAAACUGCAUUUAUACAAUCUGAAAAAAGGAAAGAGAAUGAAGAUAAAAAUAAUUAAUAAUCAAACUUCAGGUGUUCAGGAUUAAAAUAUGGAGCUUCGAGAACUCCAACAGGAGACCUUUGGACCAGAUCCAGUCUGUCAGAGCUCAUGAUCUGGUCUGCUCUGACCCUCCAUGUAAAAUAACAGACAAGACAUCAAAUGUGAUGGAGCACUGGUUUGGAUUAGAGGUUCAGGUGAUCAGAAGGUGGAGUCCUUGUUGCAGCAGUUUCUGGUUGGACUCCCAUGAUCCUUUGCUGUAAGUCCUCCCUCACUCUCUACUCCUCGUUUCCUGUUCCUCUUCAGCGCUCGGAUCAAUCAAAGUCUUCAAAAUGAACUUGAACUGUGACAUGGAGGAAACAGGAGGAUCUUUGUCUGCCUUCAUCCCUCACUGUACACUGAUCUUCAACAAGAACACUCAACCCAGAAUAACUGACUGUGUUGUCUCUACUGUCAGAACUGGACCGGACCAGCCAGCAAUCCUCCAGAUCUGAGUUCAUGGAAGUCAGAGACAAACCAGAAAGACUCUCAACCAAGAAGAGCUCAGAGAGAGUCACCCAGGACACUGAGCCCACCUCCCUCAACCAGGCUGGUCUCAAGAGUUUGUAUUGAGCAGAUCCAGCCCAUGUGAAGCUGAACCUGAAUGUGCUCUCAGACUGUAACAUCAGCGCUCUGCUAAACAGAGAAUGGAUGAGACUCUGAUGAGACAGGUCAGCUGACUCUGUCUGCAACAACAUCACCUUUACUGCUUUACUCUUCUCCCUCACCUUCAUCAGGAUCAACAAGGUCAGACAGCAGACAGAUCCACUCUUCCUCUCACUUUGUCAUUGAUUCACUGAUGGCUGAGUUCACUCACAUUUCAUUUAGUCCACUCUCUAAUCGGGUUUUACUGCAGGAACCUUUCAAACCAUAUGAGCAGUUAUUGAGCUGCAGAAAAGAGGCAGUGGAGCCAAAACAGGAACCUGAUCAAUCUGAUCAUUGAAUAUUGAUCAGGAGAAAAAUCUAAAUGGUUCAAAUAAAAUUGAGAAGAACAAAAUCUGAGAGUUUGGUUCUUUAACUUCUUUGGUUCAAUCAUAAAAGUGACGAAGAAAACUUUGUUUUUGUGACUUCAGUCAUCACAGCAAAGAGACAAAGAGGAAAAUCUCUGUGUGUCUGUGUUUGUGUGUCUGUCUCUCUGUCUGUGUUUGUCUGUCUGUCAGUGUAGAUUCAGGCGUCUGUGUUUCUCACUGUCAGAGCAGAUCUUUCUCGUUUCCUCCUCAUGAAAACUCAAACCUCAUGUUCUGACCGAUUAAACUCAUUUGAUGAAGAAGUGAAUUUUUUUCAGAUUUGGUUUGUUUGGUGUUUUUUUGUGACUCUGAAUUUAUGAAGCAUCAUUAUUACUUUAAUAACUGAGAUGAAAACAAUGAUGCUAGCUGAAGAAACAACAACAAGGAAACUGGGAGCCCAAGUUUAGUCCAUGACUUUAUCCUCAUUAUUGUAAUGAGUCAAAAAGACUAAUAAACACCUGUCACAGUCUGAAAAAAGAAAAAAAUCAUGUAACCUCUGAAGAAACUGUUCCUGUUUUUAAUGAUUCAAUGUUCUUGAACCCUGAAGGACACGGAAGAAGAACUUUUUCAGAGUUGAUCUUCAGGAACUUUGUAAAAUCCUCUCUAAACUUUUUGAAGAUCCAGAGGAAUUUAUCAGUCGAGAAAAUUUUACAGAAACAGAAAACUUUAGUGAGAUCCUGAGAAACUCCUGUGAGAAAUCUCAAAGGUUCUUUUGUAGUCCUGAAUUCUUCAUGAAGAUGAAAAUAGUCAGGAGUUUAUUCAGGGGUCUGUCCGUCUGCUGUCAACAACUGCCAAACUACUCUUAAAUAAACCAACAGAUCAUUGAUCAGAGAGGUUUUUAUGGACCAGCUGGACAAGAUGAUGUUCAUGUUCAACAAACUGAAGUGAAAACUGCAGACAAAUCUGGAUCUGGUUUUUACAUUUGAACACGACUGAGCAAAGAAGAAAUUCAAGUUUUCAAGAGUUUCCAAAUGAAAUAUCCAGAGUUGGAUUAACUUUGUUCUUCAGGUUUCAAUCUGCAGCUCAUCAUUUCUCUGACACUUCAUUCAUUAGUGAUCACAUUAACUGUGGAUCAGUUCAGUAUCAGCCUUUAGUCUGUGCUGCUCCUGCCCUCUACAAGCAUGUGUAAUAUUUGUGGGACUGAUUUUCUCCUGCUUCCUUUCUACAUCCAUCGUUCUACUCAAAGUCGACUCUGAAAUGUCGGAUUUUUCUUCCUGUGUUGAAGUUUUACAACGACAAAUUCAAACUGCUCGACCAAAGUUGAUGGAAAAACCACAGAGAAAAAUCUAAGGCAGCAGCUGUCACAUCUUAUUGUUAGAUCAGAAGGAAAUGGUGUCUCACCUCAGAGUCUCCAGUUUACAGUUUGGACUCUCCAGUCCUGCAGAGAGAAGCUUCACUCCUGAAUCCUGCAGCUUGUUGUGACUCAGGUCCAGAUAUCUCAGAUGGGAGGGGUUGGACUUCAGAGCUGAGGCCAGAGAAGAACAGCUGAUCUCUGACAAACUGCAUUUAUACAAUCUGAAAAAAGGAAAGAGAAUGAAGAUAAAAAUAAUUAAUAAUCAAACUUCAGGUGUUCAGGUUUAAAAUAUGGAGCUUAGAGAACUCCAACAGGAGACCUUUGGACCAGAUCCAGUCUGUCAGAGCUCAUGAUCUGGUCUGCUCUGACCCUCCAUGUAAAAUAACAGACAAGACAUCAAAUGUGAUGGAGCACUGGUUUGGAUUAGAGGUUCAUGUGAUCAGAAGGUGGAGUCCUUGUUGCAGCAGUUGCUGGUUGGACUCCCAUGAUCCUUUGCUGUAAGUCCUCCCUCACUCUCUACUCCUCGUUUCCUGUUCCUCUUCAGCGCUCGGAUCAAUCAAAGUCUUCAAAAUGAACUUGAACUGUGACAUGGAGGAAACAGGAGGAUCUUUGUCUGCCUUCAUCCCUCACUGUACACUGAUCUUCAACAAGAACACUCAACCCAGAAUAACAGACUGUGUUGUCUCUACUGUCAGAACUGGACCGGACCAGCCAGCAAUCCUCCAGAUCUGAGUUCAUGGAAGUCAGAGACAAACCAGAAAUACUCUCAACCAAGAAGAGCUCAGAGAGAGUCACCCAGGACACUGAGCCCACCUCCCUCAACCAGGCUGGUCUCAAGAGUUUGUAUUGAGCAGAUCCAGCCCAUGUGAAGCUGAACCUGAAUGUGCUCUCAGACUCUAACAUCAGUGCUCUGCCAAACAGAGAAUGGAUGAGACUCUGAUGAGACAGGUCAGCUGACUCUGUCUGCAACAACAUCACCUUUACUGCUUUACUCUUCUCCCUCACCUUCAUCAGGAUCAACAAGGUCAGACAGCAGACAGAUCCACUCUUCCUCUCACUUUGUCAUUGAUUCACUGAUGGCUGAGUUCACUCACAUUUCAUUUAGUCCACUCUCUAAUCGGGUUUUACUGCAGGAACCUUUCAAACCAUAUGAGCAGUUAUUGAGCUGCAGAAAAGAGGCAGUGGAGCCAAAACAGGAACCUGAUCAAUCUGAUCAUUGAAUAUUGAUCAGGAGAAAAAUCUAAAUGGUUCAAAUAAAAUUGAGAAGAACAAAAUCUGAGAGUUUGGUUCUUUAACUUCUUUGGUUCAAUCAUAAAAGUGACGAAGAAAACUUUGUUUUUGUGACUUCAGUCAUCACAGCAAAGAGACGAAGAGGAACAUCUCUGUUAGUCUGUGUUUGUGUGUCUCUGUCUGUGUCUGUCUGUGUCUCUGUCUGUGUCUCUCUGUCUGUCAGUGUAAAUUCAGGUGUCUGUGUUUCUAACUGUCAGAGCAGAUCUUUCUCGUUUCCUCCUCAUGAAAACUCAAACCUCAUGUUCUGACCGAUUAAACUCAUUUGAUGAAAAAGUGAAUUUUUUUCAGAUUUGGUUUGUUUGGUGUUUUUUUGUGACUCUGAAUUUAUGAAGCAUCAUUAUUACUUUAAUAACUGAGAUGAAAACAAUGAUGCUAGCUGAAGAAACAACAACAAGGAAACUGGGAGCCCAAGUUUAGUCCAUGACUUUAUCCUCAUUAUUGUAAUGAGUCAAAAAGACUAAUAAACACCUGUCACAGUCUGAAAAAAGAAAAAAAUCAUGUAACCUCUGAAGAAACUGUUCCUGUUUUUAAUGAUUCAAUGUUCUUGAACCCUGAAGGACACGGAAGAAGAACUUUUUCAGAGUUGAUCUUCAGGAACUUUGUAAAAUCCUCUCUAAACUUUUUGAAGAUCCAGAGGAAUUUAUCAGUCGAGAAAAUUUUACAGAAACAGAAAACUUUAGUGAGAUCCUGAGAAACUCCUGUGAGAAAUCUCAAAGGUUCUUUUGUAGUCCUGAAUUCUUCAUGAAGAUGAAAACAGUCAGGAGUUUAUUCAGGGGUCUGUCCGUCUGCUGUCAACAACUGACAAACUACUCUUAAAUAAACCAACAGAUCAUUGAUCAGAGAGGUUUUUAUGGACCAGCUGGACAAGAUGAUGUUCAUGUUCAACAAACUGAAGUGAAAACUGCAGAAAAAUCUGGAUCUGGUUUUUACAUUUGAACACGACUGAGCAAAGAAGAAAUUCAAGUUUUCAAGAGUUUCCAAAUGAAAUAUCCAGAGUUGGAUUAACUUUGUUCUUCAGGUUUCAAUCUGCAGCUCAUCAUUUCUCUGACACUUCAUUCAUUCAUUAGUGAUCACAUUAACUGUGGAUCAGUUCAAUAUCAGCCUUUAGUCUGUGCUGCUCCUGCCCUCUACAAGCAUGUAUAAUAUUUGUGGGACUGAUUUUCUCCUGCUUCCUUUCUACAUCCAUCGUUCUACUCAAAGUCGACUCUGAAAUGUCGGAUUUUUCUUCCUGUGUUGAAGUUUUACAACGACAAAUUCAAACUGCUCGACCAAAGUUGAUGGAAAAACCACAGAGAAAAAUCUAAGGCAGCAGCUGUCACAUCUUAUUGUUAGAUCGGAAGGAAAUGGUGUCUCACCUCAGAGUCUCCAGUCUGCAGUUUGGACUCUCCAGUCCUGCAGAGAGAAGCUUCACUCCUGAAUCCUGCAGUCUGUUGUUUCUCAGGUUCAGAUGUCUCAGAUGGGAGGGGUUGGACUUCAGAGCUGAGGCCACAACUUCACAGUGAGUCUCUGAGAGUCCACAGUUAUUAAAUCUGUGACAAAAUGAAUAUCAAACAAUAUUUUAUUAAAGGGUUAUUUGAUGUUUCUCUUCCCCAAAAACAACUCAAACAUGAUCUUUGGUUUGACAGACGGCCUGUUUUUAACCAGACAGAUACUAAUAUCAGGACCACAGCCAUGAGAGAAGACAGGAAGUCCAAGUUUAGAAGAAAAAAAAAACUGUUCAGACGUUCAAGACAAAUGACUCCAUGACUCAUGCUCCUCUCAGUGUUUAGUGUUGACAUCCUGCUAUAAUGUAAGGCACUGACUGUUGACCAAUCAGAAGACGACUCACUAAAUCACAGCAGCUCCUUUUUCUCUGUUUGGUUCAGAUAAAAACAUUUCUUUGAAGGUUAGACAGUUCUGCCACUGUGUAGAAAAUGAUCCAGUUCUAUUUUCACCAUCAAUGCUGUCAACACCCUCAUUUACAACUGAUUCAUCAUUUCCAACCUGAAAACCAGCAGGAAGAAGCUGCAGACACCUUCUUAAAACUCAAGUUCACCUGAUCUGGACUGAUACCAUCAUCAGAAGACCUCUGUGUGUCCUCAGAUAUGGUCGCUGAUUUGUCCUCAAAGUUCCACUUUAUUCAUUACAGACACGAUUCAAAACAAAGAGGUCCUCCACAAUUAGGACAAGUUCUCAGGGGUCCACAGGUAGACCUCAUCCUGGACUAACAGGACUUUAGACACCAGGAUCAUGUUUUUGCUGAAGAAACCCCCUCCCUGAUAUUUGAGUGGAUUUCUAUUUGAAGAAGAACAUCAUCAGUAACGUGGACAUUAGAAGAACUACAGGGAUCAUUUACACUAUUCUGAGAAUAAAACCUGGACUUACUCAGCCUUUCUGCAGUUCCUCACAGCUGGGAUCAGUCUCAGUCGUCCCUGGUCUGAUGUUUUAUACUUCUGUAAGUCUAACUCAUCCAGAACCUCCUCUGACAUCUGCAGCAUGUAGGCCAGAGCAGAGCAUUGGAUCUCUGAGAGUUUCUUCUCUGAUAUGUUCUUUGUCUUCAGGAACUCUUGAAUCUCCUGAUGAACCGACAGAUCGUUCAUCUCCAUCAGACAGUGGAAGAUGUUGAUGCUUCUGUCAGGAGAGAUAUCUUCUCUGUUCAUCUCCUUCAGGUUCUUGAUGACUGUUUGGAUCAUUUCUGGACUGUUGUCUGUGUGACCCAGCAGACCUCCUAAGAGUCUCUGGUUUGACUCCACAGAGAGUCCAUGAAGGAAGCGAACAAACAGGUCCAGGUGACCGUUUUUACUGAGAAGGGAGUUCUCCACGACACUCUUCAGGAAGACAUCCUGAGAUGAGAAAAAAUAAUCCAGGUUUUGAAAAAAUCUGUCAACCAUCUCUGAAGAAGACAUUUUAUCUUCAUCAUCGUUGCUUCUUAGGAAAGUCUUCAGAGCUUCUGUGUUCCUGUUUGUGAAACUGUGGAUCAUGUAGACUGCAGACAGAAACUCCUGAACGCUCAGAUGAACAAAACAGUAAACAGUUUUCUGGAAGAUCACACUCUCUCUUCUGAAGAUCUCUGUACAAACUCCUGAGUAGACCGAGGCCUCUGAGACAUCCAGACCACACCGCUCCAGGUCUUCUUGGUAGAACAUGAUGUUUCCUUUCUUCAGAUGUUCAAAGGCCAGCCUCCCCAGCUUCAGGAGGACGUCACUGUCAGCAUCCAUCAGUGCCUGAGGACUUGUCUCAUGUCCUCCUUCAUACUUCUGCUUCUUCCUCUGAGUCUGGACCAGCAGGAAGUGUGAGUACAUGUCAGUCAGGGUCUUGGGCAGCUCUCCUCUCUGCUCUCUGCUCAUCAUGUCCUCCAGAACUGUCGCAGUGAUCCAGCAGAAGACCGGGAUCUGACACAUGAUGUGGAGGCUCCUGGAGGACUUGAUGUGUGAGAUGAUUCUUCUGGACAGAUCUUCAUCUCUGAACCUCUUCUUGAAGUACUCGUCCUUCUGGUCGUCAGUGAAGCCUCGUACUUCUGUUACCCUGUCCACAUGUGAAGGAGGGAUCUGAUUGGCUGCUGCAGGUCGAGAAGUUAUCCAGAUGAGAGCUGAGGGGAGCAGGUUCCCCUUGAUGAGGUUUGUUAUCAGAACGUUCAGUGAAGACUUCUGUGUGACGUCAGACACCACCUCAGAGUCUGUGAAAUCCAGAGACAGUCUGCUUUCAUCCAGACCGUCAAAGAUGAACAGAAGUUUACAGACAGCCAGCGUCUCUGCUGUGACCUUCUCUAGGGUUGGAUGGAAAACAUGGAGCAGACUCAGAAGACUGAAGCGCUCAUCUCUGAUCAGGUUCAGCUCCCUGAAUGAAAGCAGGACCACCAGAUGGAGGUCUUGGUUCUCCAAACCCUCUGCCCAGUCCAGAGUGAACUUCUGCACUGAGAAGGUUUUUCCAACACCAGCCACGCCGUUGGUCAGAACCACUCUGAUGAGCUUCUUCUGUUGGUCAGGUAAGGUUUUAAAGAUCUCAUGACACCUGAUGGGCGUGUCAUGGAGGGUCUUCAUCUUUGAAGUAGUCUCCAGCUGUCUCACCUCAUGUUGGGUGUUCACCUCUUCACUCAGUCCCUCUGUGAUGUAGAGCUCAGUGAAGAUCCUGUUGAGGAGGGUUUGACUACUUCCUGUUACAUCACUUCCUUCAUUCACACGUUCACAUCUCCUCUUCAGACUUAUCUUAUGUUCAUCUAAAACCUCCUGCGGGAGGCCAUCUUCUGAAAGAGAAGAAAAAUAAAAUGAACCAAACUUCUCAACACUGAAACGUCUUUGUGAAAAUCAGUCAGCUGAGUUUUCAUCCACACAGACUUUUCCUCACAGUCCGUCGGCGCCGACACCUUUAUACAGGCGCUCUUUAAAUUACCGUAACUUUGGGAUAGUUUGUUCUAUCAAAAAAAAAUCUCCAACGGUUUCUGAAAAGUGAGAAGUUGCGCCACACGGCCAAUAAACGGUUAUUACGGUAAUUUCACUCCUGCUGUUUAGAGAGGAAAUCUGUCUCUCCGUCCCCUCUCCCCCUCACAAAGAAAGCAGUAGAUAGACAAACAACAGAGCAGAGAAACGGAGCAAAAAGAGAGAAAAAUUACCAAAAAAAAAGUGAUUAUUUCAGAGGAAAAUGUCUGUGAUAAAUCCUUCCUGAGUGAGAAAACCUCCACUGAGGUUUACAGACGACUUUGGGACCGAUGGAGAAGCUUUCAGAGAAACUUCAGACAGAGAAAGGUAAAGUUUGACUGGUUGAUUUUCUGAGUGGGUUUCUGGAUGAAUGAAGGGCUCUCUGUUAACCUGCACUGAUCUUCCCUCUUUUAGUGAAUGUUAGUAGAAUGGCUUCUGUCUGUCUUAGAGAUAUUUUUAGUUUUUAUUGUUCUGCUGGGACGUUAUUGUGGAAACAGAUGAAAGACACUGCCGACACAGAACAGGUGUUAGGUGACGUCAUCCUUUUUGUUACCGAAAUAAUUACAGAUAAGUGACGUGGCUUUUCUUUUAAUCAACGAAUAUUCAUCUUCAAUGGUAAGUGACGUUGCUUUUCUUUUAAUCAACGAGUAUUCGUCUUCAAUGGUAAGUGACGUUGCUUUUCUUUUUACUAAAAAGUUUUCAUCUUCGGCGGUUUUCUCUUGUUGGUUUCUCAUUUGCAGCCGUUGAUGUGUUGCCGAGAAACACAUGCCCCCCGAGAAUUACAUCCACUUGGCAGAAAUGCUCACCGUUUAUAGUAGAGUAUAGCUACGUGCCCAAACAAGCCAUGGGCAGAUGAAGUCUAAAAGAACUAGCAUGAGGAGACGACGCUGCAAACUUUGUCAUAAGGAGAACUGUCUGGAAGUGUGAGGGGUGUGAUGUGGGUCUGUGUCUGCAGACAGAAAGGAACAGCUUCUGACAGUUUCACAAAGACCUCUGAGUGAGAGAGGAGAAACGCCUGGACACAGUUGUAUUUAGUUAGCCUGUUUUUGCACUUGGAGAGACAGCACUCCAAAGUUUUUGCUGUAAAUAUGUUUGAUACUCUUUAAUUUUUUUAUUUCAAAUGAACAAUCUGUUUUUCAUGAAUAUUUUCUGUUUUUUUCUCAUUAAAACUCAAAAAAAAUUGUAUUCCGUUUUUGUGUUUUUCUUUAUCUUACAAUGUUAAAGCACUCUUUUAACAGACAGUAAAUCGUAAAUGACAGCCAGAUAUUGAAAGUUUUAAGUGCUCUGGAAAAAUGGGUAAAACUCAACUUUAUUUGUAAAGCACUUUAAAACAACCACAGCCAACCAAAGUGCUGUAUAUAAAUAGACAAAAAAGCAUAGACAUAAAAAAAAAAAAAAAAACAUAAAACACUAAAACAGGAGCCGAGUCUCAUGCAGGGUUGAAAGCCAAUGAAUAAAAAAGCACUCACUCAUAGGACAUUUUCUGCCAAUUUUAUGGCUAAAAUAAGCAAAAUAAUUCAGGCAGAAAUUGUAUAAUUUAGGGUUUAAAGGUGUUCAGACUUACUUCGAUCAGAGCUGGACUGGCUGUCUGUCUGAAGAACAAGAACUGUUCUGGUUCUUUUUCCACACUGAGGACAGGAGGUGUGUCCUGAAGAAGUAGACUGGUCCCUGAAUGAGGCGAGGCACUGUCUGCAGAACCUGUGUCCACAGCGGGUAGAGACUGGAUCCUUCAGGACAUCCUGACAUAAAGAACAUUUGGACAGCUGCUCCUCCACAGAGUCACAUCUCUGUGUCUCUCUGUGGAAAUAAAGAACAUUUAUUUUCUUUAUUAUUUCAUGUUUGAAAGAUACAGAAUAAGAAACAUUUAUUAAACCAGAGUUUCUCUUUUCUCUAACAUAAAACAAUCUCCUGUAAAAUAUUCAGCUGCUGCUGCCUGAAAGUGUCGUGACAAGAGAAAAAACUAAACUGUGAUUUUUGAAGGUAGAGAGAUUUUCUCUGACAGUUUAAAACUUUUUUUUUGACCAAUCAGAUCUAAAGGUCUAAUAACAGACAGAUGCUCUGAAUUAUGUUUUUAUUUUUCAGGAUUUAUUUCUUCAUUGGUCUUCUGGUAUUUUGUGACCCACAGACUGUUUUCUGGGGUCUAUACACCACAGUCCAAAGACUAACAGGCUCAAAACGUCCCAAACACAGGAACCAAAUCAGAAAAUACAAGAAGUCAGAAUCCUUUUCAAAUGCUGUUUUAUACGACCUUCAUUUUUAUCAACAUCAAGAAUAAUAAGUAAAUCUGUGCUCAGUGAGUUUUUCUUUACCAGCCUUUUAUCCAUUACAAGAUCAUCUUUCUAUCAUCUCAAAAAUAUCUCCAAACUGAGGGGCUUUCUGUCAAAAUCAGACUUAGAAAAAUUCAUCCAUGCAUUUAUAAGAAGUAAACUGGAUUACUGUAACAGUUUAUUCACUGGACUCCCAAAAUCAAGUCUUCAGAGGUUACAGUUAAUUCAAAAUGCAGCUGCAUGAAUUCUCACUGGUACCAAAAAAUAUCAACACAUCACACCCGUUCUCAAAUCUGUACAUUGGUUACCCGUUAGGACAAGAAUCGAUUUCAAAAUACUCCUCCUGGUUUACAAAGCACUACAUGGCCUUGCACCUCAGUACAUCACAGAUAUGCUCAUCACCUACACCCCAGCAAGAACACUUCGGUCAACAGGCAGUGGCAACUUACUCAUCCCUCACACCAGAUCCAAAUAAGGGGAGGCAGCUUUGAGUGUUUAUGCCCCACAAAAAUGGAACACCCUGCCUGACACAGUUAGACACAUCAGUAGCCAUCUUUAAAAACAGAUUUCUGUAGCAUUCGCGGUGAAGUUGGUUGACUUGCACUUACACUCUUAAAUUGAUUUCUAAUAGAUUUUUGUAUAACUGUUUUUAACUAUGUACACCUGUUGUGAAGAACAUUGAGUCUGCCUUUUGCAUGAAAUGGGCUUUAUAAAUAAAGUUGGAUUGAAUUGAAUUUUAUCCAGGUUGGCAGGUUCAAGAGGAAAAUCAGUGUUUUGAGAACAGAGGAGAAAACAGAGGGGUCAGGAUUUAAAGUUUUGUAUUUGAAACGUCAGAGGUUGUUUGAGAGUUUGGUGAUUGAAAAGUGUUUCUCUUACUGUGAAUCUGAGGGUCCUGGUUCUUCACUGAAUUUUGGUGGAGGAUCUUUAGACCGGUCACUCUUCAUAGACAGACAGCUGGAGAUAACAGACUUUGUUCUGUCCUGCUCUGGGGGUCCUGGUUCUUUACUGAAGUUUAUAUCAAAACCUUUAGACCGGUCACUCUUCAUAGACAGACAGUCAAACAUAUCAGACUCUGCUCUGCCCUCCUCUUCCUCGACACCAACACUCAUCUUCUCCAUCUUCUGUUGUGCAAAUUUAUGGAGGCUGAAACCGAGUUAUACAACCUGAGGACAAAGAAGACAAACAGGUGAGACACAAACAGGAAGAGAGAGUUCAGAAAUAAAAGAGGAAUCAGAAAGGAAGUACAGAGUCUAAAAACAGCUUCAUCCCCCUCUUUAAGAGUUAUACAGGUUUAAUAUCCAAGAACUUCUGAUGUCUCCCCACCCUGCAGGGCCUCUCUCUGAUCCUUGUCUGAUUCAUGGUCAAAACAAAAUCAGCUGUGAGGUCCCUGAACUCUCAGAAAAAAACUUAAGGAGACUGGAUUAAAUUUGAAAUGAGACGCUAAAAAGAUUCUGAUUCAUAUUUUUACCAAAAAGACAAGUCUAAACAAAGAGGAGGAAGAACUGCAGUUACACAGUUUCCUGUAUGAAGAACUGAUCCAGCUCUUUGUCUGCUCAGGUUUCUUUGUUUUACAGUUUUUAAGUGUUUUAGUCAGUAAAUCAUUUUUUCAUUAACAGAUAAAACAGAUAAAGAGUUUGACAUUAAAACUAAAACAGAGUAAACACUCACCCUGUCUCCUCGUCCUCUCCUCUCUCUUCUUUUCUCAAAAUGGAGUCUGUUUUUCAGCUCACAUACUUUCACUUUCACUCUGACUGUUUUCACUGAAACCUAAACCACCAGAUCACAGAUUCUUCUCCUCAUUUACUGACCGUUAUUCAUCAUCUUUUAAGUUCAGUAUUCUUGACAACCAUCUUCCUCUCCUGAGUCCAAAUUCAAAGUUCACUAAAACAGGAACUUGUUUGUUUGGUUGAGUCUCAGUUUAUUGUUAAUGCAGCAGCUCCACCUGCUGGUCAAACCAACAAACUUCAGAUGAGCGCUCCUCUUCUCAUACCCCAAUAAAUGUGAAGAUUUGGUUGAACAGGUUUUUAUUUUUGCACACAGUGUGAUUGUGUUGUCACUACACAAACUGCUCCUUCACCUCACUUUACAAAGAUCACUGUCCAACAUAUAUUUAGUUAGAUGUUGAAGUGAUAACACAAGUUCACGUUGUAUGCUUUAGGUAUCUCUGUCCUGUUAUCUGGGGCUCAGAAAUAAAGGUCGGCAAACCCGGACGUGUUUGUUUUUUUUUUUUCGUGGGAUGGUAGGGGAAGGUCCCACCCUCCUUCGCAUCUGAUUGGCUAGAAGUGCUAGGCUCCGAUUGGUUAUUCCUUAUGGCUGUGAAACGUCAUAGCAAACAUGAACCCCCUAAUAACUUUUAAAAAUUGAGCUGUACAGAAAAAAGAGGACUUGAGCACAAACCAGUCUGACAAUAACUACAUGUCAACAUCACAACCAGGAGGGAGAAAAAAUUAUGUUCUGUGUAAUAAAUUUCUAAAGUUCGUCCACAGCUCCAUAAGCUUUGCUGGCGCAGGCGGGAUUUAUGACCUAUACUGCAGCCCAUCAACAGAGGGUGCUGUUCUCAGAGUGGCUUCACCCAGCGAGGAGGCAGACUCUGUCCAUUCUAUAUACAGUCUCUGGUUUUUCUUCUUUUGCUUUAGUAACCCCUUUUCAGAUUUCUGGAUCAAAGUACCCCCGAUAAAAGACGACCACCUGUUGCUUAGAAAACUAAAUCUAGGAUAUCGUUGAUGUCAUGCAGAAAUCUAUCUUUAUAUUUUACCUUUUUUUGUUAGAUGUGUGGAUUUGUCCUCCACAUACUUUAAAUGAACAAUAACACACCUUAGAGAGAAUAUCACAAAUGAAAACACAGGAAACAACUGUGCUGCACCCUGAUGAGAAAACCUUCCUCUACUUUUCAGACUCACUUUGAGGACUUUUUAAAGACCAAAUCUAGUUUCUGUUUGAAUGAAAAAUAAUAAUAAUCAAUUGCACACAGUGAAUGAAACGAGCCGAGUUGACGUUUUUAACAUGUUUUGGUUCAAAUAAAGUUUUUAUUAUCUUUAAAUGACAUUGUUACAGUGAAAUGAAAUAAAAAAUGAUCUGGUGUAAAUGAAGAACCAACAUAGUGUUACACAGACAGAGCACAGAUCUAUUGAUAGUAGAUUAGCUGAAGAGGACAAAUCUGUUCACAAUAGUUCUAUGUUUAAUGUUUCUGUGGUGUGAGCAGACUGUGACAUGAGCUGUAGCAUCAGUUUAUGAAGCUGAGAUUGUAAUCAACAACACUGAGUUUAUAAAACAGCAUCGACCACGUUAGUGACUUCACCCUGAAUAGAUGCUGAUCUCACUUUUUCCAGACUCCAGUCAAUACGGUUAUUUUUGUCUGUCAGAGGAAAACUUCUCCAUCAUAAUAAAGUAAAAAUAAUGUUUUUGUUUUUGUUCAAGAAUCUUUCUUUUGACUGAUUAUAUUUCACACAUUUUAAUUUUACUCUCAGGUCUCAUUUAUGGUUUAAUAAUUGUAUUUGUUCAAACUGGAGGGAAUCGAUUAUUGAUGAGCACAAAGAUGAUAUGAGAACAAAAACAUGUAAAGAGACGGAAAAUAGUGUCUAAUAAUAUUAAAUAAAAUAAAUUUACCUCCAGUCAAUAUUUACCAUAAUUUCAGAAAAUGAAGAAGAAAACGGAUGAAUAAAAAUAAUCAAGUGAAAGAAUAAAGCUUCAGAUUUUUGUUAAAACCCCAAACCCUGUCCUCCUCCUCCUCCCUUCACCUCCAUCUCUCCUCACUUCUCUUCCUCUCCCUUCAGUUUAUAUUCGGUCUCUAACGGUGCAGAGGAAAGAAAAAACCUUUGGGUUUUAUCUGAACUUCUGAGUGAUCUACUCUCACACAUGGUAUCAACUCCUGCUACAGAAAUAUGAGGGAAUAAAUCAACUCCACCUCUUUAUAUUUCCACUGGGUGGCGCUGUAUCAUGGUAAAAAAAAGUAAUCCAAUCAAAGUGUAAAUUUAUGAUCAUGUUUCCAUCAACAAAACAAACCUGUUCAGACUGUUUGAUCCCAGAGUAUGAGGGAAAAUAUCAAAUAUCCAGAGUCCAGGUCCUGAGCUGAUCUCAGAGCAGGUCAAAGUGCAGCUCCCAGAGUCCUCUCCGCCCGCUGUGAUUGGUCAGUCAGUCUCUCAGUCAGAGACUCACCUCACCCUCACUGCUGCUGCCUCCACCUCUCUGAUCGUCAGGAAACACACGAUCCUCUUCUUAAUCACUCUGACGGAUGUUAUCACCAUCUGAGGAGAGAAAAAAAGACGAUCAGUGUUUCCACUCUGAGACUCACUUCAUCAGCUGGACUGAAGAACAUCCAGUUUACAGACCAGCAGGUCUCAGUCCUGCUCAGACCAGAAGUGAUGGUGUAAAGCAGCAGGUUUCCUCACAAAUAAACCAACAUCAUCAAAAUAAAGAAAUCAUUCCUGUCAAAUGUGUUAAAGCUGAUCGAACAAACCUGCUGUGAAAAUAACAAGUAUAAAGAACAGCUGUCUGUUUUCAGACUUAGAGCUCAAAAUCAACAAGUUAGCAGAGAAAUAAAGUCUGUGUUGAAUACAGAGAACUAUAAACUGGACUUCAGAGCAGAAACUGAACAUUUCUGUUUCAUUAUGUCUCAUUUCUACAUUUGAUCUGAAAUAUAGAGACGAGGAGACACUUUUUUCAUCACUGACACUCUUACACUCCUGGUUUGAUGAUUUCUGUUCUCACAGCUUCACUAAAGAGAUAAUCCUCUGAGAGGGUCGAAGAGUCAGCAGGAAAUACUGAAUAUCUGCUGUGAUACUGUGUGGAGAGGAACAGGAGAGAUCAGCACAGACUAACUCCAACUCUAGACUGACAGCAGAUACUCCAGUAUGUAGUCUGGACUCUUCUGAAGAUCACACAGCAGCUUCUCUCCUGAAUCUUGCAGAUUGUUUUCAGUCAGGUCCAGAUGUCUCAGAUGGGAGGGGUUGGACUUCAGAGCUGAGGCCAGAGAAGAACAGCUGAUCUUCGUCAAACUGCAGCGCCACAACCUAAAUAAAGAGGAAAUAAUGAGAUUUUAGACAAAAAUGAUCCAGUUUGAAACCUGAUGUCUUAAAUCUGUAGAGUUCAGGGGAAAGGUUUGGAAAGUCUGAAUCAAAGAAAAGUGACGCUCCAAAGAGCUGAACCAAACAGGAAGUCAGUUUGAAACAGUGAAUUCAAAAACACAUUAAAUAGUGAAAUAAAAAACUCAGAGACUUUUUUACUGAUUGUAGAUGCAGAUAAAAAAUAUCACGUGUUUGGGAGGUAAAUAUUUCAGUCUAAACACAGCAAGGCUUCAGAAAAGUGCAGAUAAACCAGAAAAUUCAGAUUUUUACACAAAGAUUCAAAAACAAAAUUCAAAGUAACAGAGCUGGACUUUCAUCAGAGUCAGAAACUAAACUCUGAGUUUUUUCUAUUCCCUGAUCUUGUCCUGAACAAAAGUUUGAAUGGUUCUCAUCUGACAAAUCUCCCCCUGCUUCUGUUUUCUGUCUGAAUGUGCUUCUCACUAUGAACUCUACAAAGAGUUUUCCUCUUGGGUUCAGGUUUUAAUUCACUGGAGCUCAGCAGUGAUCUAACUGGAGUCAAUCAAAUAAUCCACUGAUGCAGAAAAUCUACUCUGGACUGAAGGUGUUCAGUCUGGGUCAGUAUUUCAGUCCUGAGUCAGCAGUUUAGUGUCAUCAUCACAAACAAAUCAUGAUCAUGUUUGAAUGGAGGGAAAAAGUCUCACUCUAGAGUCUCCAGUUUACAGUUUGGACUCUGCAGAAAGUCACACAGAAGCUUCACUCCUGAAUCCUGCAGAUCGUUUAAGCUCAGGUCCAGAUGUCUCAGAUGGGAGGGGUUGGACUUCAGAGCUGAGGCCAGAGAAGAACAGCUGAUCUCUGACAAACUGCAUUUAUACAAUCUGAAAAAAGGAAAGAGAAUGAAGAUAAAAAUAAUUAAUAAUCAAACUUCAGGUGUUCAGGUUUAAAAUAUGGAGCUUAGAGAACUCCAACAGGAGACCUUUGGACCAGAUCCAGUCUGUCAGAGCUCAUGAUCUGGUCUGCUCUGACCCUCCAUGUAAAAUAACAGACAAGACAUCAAAUGUGAUGGAGCACUGGUUUGGAUUAGAGGUUCAGGUGAUCAGAAGGUGGAGUCCUUGUUGCAGCAGUUGCUGGUUGGACUCCCAUGAUCCUUUGCUGUAAGUCCUCCCUCACUCUCUACUCCUCGUUUCCUGUUCCUCUUCAGCGCUCGGAUCAAUCAAAGUCUUCAAAAUGAACUUGAACUGUGACAUGGAGGAAACAGGAGGAUCUUUGUCUGCCUUCAUCCCUCACUGUACACUGAUCUUCAACAAGAACACUCAACCCAGAAUAACAGACUGUGUUGUCUCUACUGUCAGAACUGGACCAGACCAGCCAGCAAUCCUCCAGAUCUGAGUUCAUGGAAGUCAGUGACAAACCAGAAAUACUCUCAACCAAGAAGAGCUCAGAGAGAGUCACCCAGGACACUGAGCCCACCUCCCUCAACCAGGCUGGUCUUAAGAGUUUGUAUUGAGCAGAUCCAGCCCAUGUGAAGCUGAACCUGAAUGUGCUCUCAGACUGUAACAUCAGCGCUCUGCCAAACAGAGAAUGGAUGAGACUCUGAUGAGACAGGUCAGCUGACUCUGUCUGCAACAACAUCACCUUUACUGCUUUACUCUUCUCCCUCACCUUCAUCAGGAUCAACAAGGUCAGAGAGCAGACAGAUCCACUCUUCCUCUCACUUUGUCAUUGAUUCACUGAUGGCUGAGUUCACUCACAUUUCAUUUAGUCCACUCUCUAAUCGGGUUUUUACUGCAGGAACCUUUCAAACCAUAUGAGCAGUUAUUGAGCUGCAGAAAAGAGGCAGUGGAGCCAAAACAGGAACCUGAUCAAUCUGAUCAUUGAAUAUUGAUCAGGAGAAAAAUCAAAAUGGUUCAAAUAAUAUUGAGAAGAAGAAAAUCUGAGAGUUUGGUUCUUUAACUUAUUUGGUUCAAUCAUAAAAGUGACGAAGAAAACUUUGUUUUUGUGACUUCAGUCAUCACAGCAAAGAGACGAAGAAGAAAAUCUCUGUUAGUCUGUGUGUCUGUGUCUCUGUGUGUCUGUAUUUGUGUGUCUGUGUCUGUGUCUCUCUGUCUGUGUCUCUCUGUCUGUGUUUGUCUGUCUGUCAGUGUAGAUUCAGGCGUCUGUGUUUCUCACUGUCAGAGCAGAUCUUUCUCGUUUCCUCCUCAUGAAAACUCAAACCUCAUGUUCUGACCGAUUAAACUCAUUUGAUGAAAAAGUGAAUUUUUUUCAGAUUUGGUUUGUUUGGUGUUUUUUUGUGACUCUGAAUUUAUGAAGCAUCAUUAUUACUUUAAUAACUGUGAUGAAAACAAUGAUGCUAGCUGAAGAAACAACAACAAGGAAACUGGGAGCCCAAGUUUAGUCCAUGACUUUAUCCUCAUUAUUGUAAUGUGUCAAAAAGACUAAUAAACACCUGUCACAGUCUGAAAAAAGAAAAAAAUCAUGGAACCUCUGAAGAAACUGUUCCUGUUUUUAAUGAUUCAAUGUUCUUGAGCCCCUGAAGGACACGGAAGAAGAACUUUUUCAGAGUUGAUCUUCAGGAACUUUGUAAAAUCUUCUCUAAACUUUUUGAAGAUCCUGAGGAAUUUAUCAGUCAAGAAAAUUUUAAAGAAACAGAAAACUUUAGUGAGAUCCUGAGAAACUCAUGUGAGAAAUCUCAAAGGUUCUUUUGUAGUCCUGAAUUCUUCAUGAAGAUGAAAACAGUCAGGAGUUUAUUCAGGGGUCUGUCCGUCUGCUGUCAACAACUGCCAAACUACUCUUAAAUAAACCAACAGAUCAUUGAUCAGAGAGGUUUUUAUGGACCAACUGGACAAGAUGAUGUUCAUGUUCAACAAACUGAAGUGAAAACUGCAGACAAAUCUGGAUCUGGUUUUUACAUUUGAACACGACUGAGCAAAGAAGAAAUUCAAGUUUUCAAGAGUUUCCAAAUGAAAUAUCCAGAGUUGGAUUAACUUUGUUCUUCAGGUUUCAAUCUGCAGCUCCUCAUUUCUCUGACACUUCAUUCAUUCAUUAGUGAUCACAUUAACUGUGGAUCAGUUCAGUAUCAGUCUUUAGUCUGUGCUGCUCCUGCCCUCUACAAGCAUGUGUAAUAUUUGUGGACUGAUUUUCUCCUGCUUCCUUUCUACAUCCAUCGUUCUCCUCAAAGUCAACUCUGAAAUGUCGGAUUUUUCUUCCUGUGUUGAAGUUUUACAACGACAAAUUCAAACUGCUCGACCAAAGUUGAUGGAAAAACCACAGAGAAAAAUCUAAGGCAGCAGCUGUCACAUCUUAUUGUUAGAUCAGAAGGAAAUGGUGUCUCACCUCAGAGUCUCCAGUCUGCAGUUUGGACUCUCCAGUCCUGCAGAGAGAAGCUUCACCCCUGAAUCCUUCAGCUCGUUGUUACUCAGGUCCAGAUAUCUCAGAUGGGAGGGGUUGGACUUCAGAGCUGAGGCCACAACUUCACAGUGAGUCUCUGAGAGUCCACAGAGAGAAAAUCUGUAACAACAUAAAUAUCAACAAUAUUUCAUUAAAGGGUAAUUUGAUGUUUCUCCUCACCAAAAACAAACAUGAUCUUUGGUUUGACAGACGGCCUGUUUUUAACCAGACAGAUACUAAUAUCAGGACCACAGCCAUGAGAGAAGACAGGAAGUCAAAGUUUAGAAGAAAAAAAAAACUGUUUUGAUGUUCAAGACAAAUGACUCCAUGACUUAUUUUAGUCAUUCUGUUCUCUAACAGUGUUGUCUUCAUGUUAGUGCAGCUGGAUCAUUAUGAUUGAGUGAAUUCUUGAGUUCUGGUUGGAGAAGGGGACUGAGAACCAGGUUUUUGGUCCUGGUAUGUGAUUGGUCAGUAUCCAAAGUACCUCUUGGAGAAUCAGUGCUCCUCUCAGUGUUUAAUGUUGACAUCCUGCUGUAAUGUAAGUCUUUCCAUAGACACUGACUGUUGACCAAUCAGAGGACGACUCACUAAAUCACAGCAGCUCCUGUUUCUCUGAUUGGUUCAGAUAAAAACAUUUUUUAGCAGGUUAGAGCUGGUUUGACUCUGAACAUUUGAAGAAUUCAAAAUUUCUUUGUUUUCACAAUGAAAGUUUUUUCUCCAUGUAACUCUAGGGGGCGUACAUUCCCAUGAUUCCUAUAAAAAUAACAUUGAAUUUUUCUAGUUUGUGUGUUUGAUGCAGAAAGAAACAUCUGGAGUCAGAAGAAAUAAAAGAGAUUCAUCUUUGAACAUGUUUUCUUCUCUUUUUUAAAUGUUUGCACUAAAUCAUGAAGUGAGGUAUCAAUAAUGAGUCCUGAUAAUACCAACAUGGAGGAUCAAUAUGGGUACCUGUAUUAAUUCAACCUAAUCACAGCCAUGCUAGUUAUGACCAAAAACAGACUUUUCUGCUCCCUAAAAGAGUCCUUGUUAGUCCUUUAGACCUGGUUCAGUCUCUCAGACUCAGACCUGGAUCAAACCCCAGUCUGCUGCAGUGUUUGUUUACAGGCUGUUUCAGCAGAAGGCAGCAGUCUGACCAAUUUACAUCAACAUCUGAAACAGAGGCGUGCAGCCGAGUUACAGCCCACCAACAUCUCAACAUGAGAGGAAUCAUCUUCACUCUGCAUCACCAUGACAACAAAGGGACAACAUGGAAAACUGAUGAUGAUGAUGAUGAUGAUGAUGCAGUCACACUGCUUCUCCUUAGAGACAUGGUGUCCAUAUAUACAGUGGAAGAGCACGGCUGUUUUCACAUGCUAUGAGGUGUUAUGAGGCAGACUAGUGUAAGUGCCAACCUGCAGCACCGUGGGCAGAGAGAGAGAGACAGAGAGAGAGAGAGAGAGUGAGAGAGAGAGAGAGAGAGAGAGAGAGAGAGAGAGAGACAUUAACAUCCUAUCUCCACCACUUUUUUCAGACUCAUGGAGCUGCUGUCCAAAUACCUCCUGUGUUCUCAUCAUUCAUAUGUUCUAGUCCAGCAGAUAAUCUCCAGUGAGUGGUGGAAAAUGAUGUUAGUUUUCAUGGUUGUAUUGAUUAUGAAUACUGAAUGAUGAACAUGAUGGUACAGAGACAGUUCUGACACUGUGUAGAAAAUGAUCCAGUUCUAUUUUCACCAUCAAUGCUGUCAACACCCUCAUUUACAACAGAUUCAUCAUUUCCAACCUGAAAACCAGCAGGAAGAAGCUGCAGACACCUUCUUCAAACUCAAGUUCACCACAACUGACUGAGAUGUUGAUCUGGACUGAUACCAUCAUCAGAAGACCUCUGUGUGUCCUCAGAUAUGGUCGCUGAUUUGUCCUCAAAGUUCCACUUUAUUCAUUACAGACACGAUUCAAAACAAAGAGGUCCUCCACAAUCAGGACAAGUUCUCAGGGGUCCACAGGUAGACCUCAUCCUGGGCUAACAGGACUUUAGACACCAGGAUCAUGUUUUUGCUAAAGAAACCCCCUCCCUGAUAUUUGAUUUCUAUUUGAAGAAGAACAUCAUCAGUAACGUGGACAUUAGAAGAACUACAGGGAUCAUUUACACUUUUCUGAGAAUAAAACCUGGACUCACACAGCCUUUCUGCAGUUCCUCACAGCUGGGAUCAGUCUCAGUCGUCCCUGGUCUGAUGUUUUAUAAUUCUUUAAGUCCAACUCCUCCAGAACCUCCUCUGACAUCUGUAGCAUGUAGGCCAGAGCAGAGCAGUGGAUCUCUGAGAGUUCCUUCUCUGAUCUGUUCUUUGACUUCAGGAACUCUUGAAUCUCCUGAUGAACUGACAGAUCGUUCAUCUCCAUCAGACAGUGGAAGAUGUUGAUGCUUCUGUCAGGAGAGAUAUCUUCACUGUUCAUCUCCUUCAGAUUGUUGAUGACUGUUUGGAUCAUUUCUGGACUGUUGUCUGUGUGACCCAGCAGAACUCCUAAGAGUCUCUGGUUUGACUCCACAGAGAGUCCAUGAAGGAAGCGAACAAACAGGUCCAGGUGACCGUUUUUACUGACAAGGGAUUUCAUCAUGACACUCUUCAGGAAGACAUCCUGAGAUGAGAAAAAAUAAUCCAGGUUUUGAAAAAAUCUGUCAACCAUCUCUGAAGAAGACAUUUUAUCUUCAUCAUCGUUGCUUCUUAGGAAAGUCUUCAGAGCUUCUGUGUUCCUGUUUGUGAAACUGUGGAUCAUGUAGACUGCAGACAGAAACUCCUGAACGCUCAGAUGAACAAAACAGUAAACAGUUUUCUGGAAGAUCACACUCUCUCUUCUGAAGAUCUCUGUACAAACUCCUGAGUACACCGAGGCCUCUGAGACAUCCAGACCACACCGCUCCAGGUCUUCUUGGUAGAACAUGAUGUUUCCUCUGUUCAGAUGUUCCAAUGCCAGCCUCCCCAGCUUCAGGAGGACGUCACUGUCAGCAUCCAUCAGUGCCUGAGGACUUGUCUCAUGUCCUCCUCCAUACUUCUGCUUCUUCCUCUUAGUCUGGACCAGCAGGAAGUGUGAGUACAUGUCAGUCAGGGUCUUGGGCAGCUCUCCUCUCUGCUCUCUGAUCAUCAUGUCCUCCAGAACUGUCGCAGUGAUCCAGCAGAAGACCGGGAUCUGACACAUGAUGUGGAGGCUCCUGGAGGACUUGAUGUGUGAGAUGAUUCUUCUGGACAGAUCUUCAUCUGUGAACCUCUUCCUGAAGUACUCGUCCUUCUGGGUGUCAUUGAAGCCUCGUACUUCUGUUAUCCUGUCCACACGUGAAGGAGGGAUCUGAUUGGCUGCUGCAGGUCGAGAAGUUAUCCAGAUGAGAGCUGAGGGGAGCAGGUUCCCCUUGAUGAGGUUUGUUAACAGAACGUUGAGUGAAGACUUCUGUGUGACGUCAGACACCACCUCAGAGUCUGUGAAAUCCAGAGACAGUCUGCUUUCAUCCAGACCGUCAAAGAUGAACAGAAGUUUACAGACAGCCAGCGUCUCUGCUGUGACCUUCUCUAGUGUUGGAUGGAAAACAUGGAGCAGACUCAGAAGACUGAAGCGCUCUUCUCUGAUCAGGUUCAGCUCCCUGAAUGAAAGCAGGACCACCAGAUGGAGGUCUUUGUUCUCCAAACCCUCUGCCCAGUCCAGAGUGAACUUCUGCACUGAGAAGGUUUUUCCAACACCAGCCACGCCGUUGGUCAGAACCACUCUGAUGAGCUUCUUCUGUUGGUCAGGUAAGGUUUUAAAGAUCUCAUGACACUUGAUGGGCAUGUCAUGGAGGGUCUUCAUCUUUGAAGUUUUCUCCAGCUGUCUCACCUCAUGUUGGGUGUUCACCUCUUCACUCAGUCCCUCUGUGAUGUAGAGCUCAGUGAAGAUCCUGUUGAGGAGGGUUUGACUACUUCCUGUUUCAUCACUUCCUUCAUUCACACGUUCACAUCUCCUCUUCAGACUGAUCUUAUGUUCAUCUAAAACCUCCUGCGGGAGGCCAUCUU